UACAGAGGGGGCAAGCGUUAUUCGGAAUUAUUGGGCGUAAAGGGCGCGUAGGCGGCUUGGCAAGUGGAAGGUGAAAUCCCUCGGCUUAACCGAGGAACUGCCCUCCAAACUGCUUUGCUUGAGGCCGGGAGAGGCGAGUGGAAUUCCCAGUGUAGCGGUGAAAUGCGUAGAUAUUGGGAAGAACACCGGUGGCGAAGGCGGCGCUCUGGACCCGAGACUGACGCUGAG
rnacentral:rRNA from 1 species